CUACGGGUGGCAGCAGUGGGGAAUAUUGGACAAUGGGCGAAAGCCUGAUCCAGCCAUGCCGCGUGUGUGAAGAAGGCCUCCGGGUUGUAAAGCACUUUCAGUGGGGAAGAAAGCCUUGGGGCUAAUACCCUCGAGGAAGGACAUCACCCACAGAAGAAGCACCGGCUAACUCCGUGCCAGCAGCCGCGGUAAUACGGAGGGUGCGAGCGUUAAUCGGAAUUACUGGGCGUAAAGCGCGCGUAGGCGGUCUGAUAAGCCGGUUGUGAAAGCCCCGGGCUCAACCUGGGAACGGCAUCCGGAACUGUCAGGCUAGAGUGCAGGAGAGGAAGGUAGAAUUCCCGGUGUAGCGGUGAAAUGCGUAGAGAUCGGGAGGAAUACCAGUGGCGAAGGCGGCCUUCUGGACUGACACUGACGCUGAGGUGCGAAAGCGUGGGUAGCAAACAGGAUUAGAUACCCGGGUAGUC
rnacentral:rRNA from 1 species